AGCGCGAAUGCAAUUAAGAUUACAUCCUGUCACCGGUUCGAUCCCGGUCUUGCUUAACCGCAGGUAGCUCAGUGGGUAGAGCGGAUAUCUUAAUCACCUUGUCGCGCUUGG
rnacentral:Y_RNA from 1 species